UAUGGCAGAAUAGUGCGCUGGACUUAAACUCCUUCUAUAAAGAAAUUUAUCUUUUAUUAAAA
rnacentral:tRNA from 1 species